UUCCGACCUGCACGAAUGGCAUAAUGAUGGCAGCGCUGUCUCCAGCAGAGACUCAGUGAAAUCGAAAUCGCAGUGAAGAUGCUGUGUACCCGCGGCUAGACGGAAAGACCCCGUGAACCUUUACUACAGCUUUACAUUGAACUUUGACCUAACUUGUGUAGGAUAGGUGGGAGGCUUUGAAGCAGAUACGCCAGUAUCUGUGGAGCCAACCUUGAAAUACCACCCUGGUUAUGUUGGGGUUCUAACUUGGAUAUAACAGUAUCAAGGACAAUGUAUGGUGGGUAGUUUGACUGGGGCGGUCUCCUCCUAAAGAGUAACGGAGGAGUACGAAGGUGCGCUCAGAACGGUCGGAAAUCGUUCAAAGAGUAUAAAGGCAAAAGCGCGCUUAACUGCGAGACCCACAAGUCGAGCAGGUACGAAAGUAGGUCUUAGUGAUCCGGUGGUUCUGUAUGGAAGGGCCAUCGCUCAACGGAUAAAAGGUACUCUGGGGAUAACAGGCUGAUACCGCCCAAGAGU
rnacentral:rRNA from 1 species